rnacentral:rRNA from 3 species
GGUUAAGCGACUAAGCGUACACGGUGGAUGCCCUGGCAGUCAGAGGCGAUGAAGGGCGUGCUAAUCUGCGAUAAGCGCCGGUAAGGUGAUAUGAACCGUUAUAACCGGCGAUACCCGAAUGGGGAAACCCAGUGUGACUCGUCACACUAUCAUUAACUGAAUCCAUAGGUUAAUGAGGCGAACCGGGGGAACUGAAACAUCUAAGUACCCCGAGGAAAAGAAAUCAACCGAGAUUCCCCCAGUAGCGGCGAGCGAACGGGGAGGAGCCCAGAGCCUGAAUCAGCAUGUGUGUUAGUGGAAGCGUCUGGAAAGGCGCGCGAUACAGGGUGACAGCCCCGUACACAAAAGCGCAUGUGCUGUGAGCUCGAUGAGUAGGGCGGGACACGUGGUAUCCUGUCUGAAUAUGGGGGGACCAUCCUCCAAGGCUAAAUACUCCUGACUGACCGAUAGUGAACCAGUACCGUGAGGGAAAGGCGAAAAGAACCCCGGCGAGGGGAGUGAAAAAGAACCUGAAACCGUGUACGUACAAGCAGUGGGAGCACAGGUUUACCUGUGUGACUGCGUACCUUUUGUAUAAUGGGUCAGCGACUUAUAUUCUGUAGCAAGGUUAACCG